UACGUAGGGUGCGAGCGUUGUCCGGAAUUACUGGGCGUAAAGAGCUCGUAGGCGGUUUGUCACGUCUGCUGUGAAGACUGGAGGCUCAACCUCCAGCCUGCAGUGGGUACGGGCAGACUAGAGUGCGGUAGGGGAGAUUGGAAUUCCUGGUGUAGCGGUGGAAUGCGCAGAUAUCAGGAGGAACACCGAUGGCGAAGGCAGAUCUCUGGGCCGUAACUGACGCUGAGGAGCGAAAGCAUGGGGAGCGAACAGG
rnacentral:rRNA from 1 species